rnacentral:lncRNA from 1 species
GCUUUAUUUAAUAAUUUCUCUAUUUAUGAAUACUUACUGUUUUCUAUGGCAAACUCUCAGGAAUUUUUUCUUCAGUACUAACUGCUAAAAGUUCUGUGGUCCAAAUCAUAACAAUUUCCCAAAUACUUGUGCAGGUUUUCCUAUUUCUCAUUUGUGCUUCCAAUGUUGCUUCUGAAUUUCUGUAUUAAAAGACCUCUCACUUCAAUUCAAUUAUAUAAGCUUAUAUAUAUUAGUAGGUGAGUUCUUUGUCAGCAACUAAGUUUCUAAAACACUCUAGACUCCUAGGAAUUGUAUGUUUAGUUCAAAGAUAAAUGAAUAAUUGAAUUUCUCAUCACCAAGUUACCUUUGUUCAAUUGUCAGAUAAAAUAUUUUAUUUGUUUCCUCCUAGUUAAGACCGGCAAAAUUAACCGCUGUUAUAUUAUUUUUACUUUUCCCCUUAUGAUAACUUUUCUUCUCUAAUAAUUUCUCUUCUCUGUUUUCCAGUGAUUCAUUGAUUCAUUGAGAGCCAGUUGUGCUAGAUGCUGGAGAAAGCAGGCUGAGUCAGAUAGGCAGGCUCUCUACCCUCAUAAUCUUAAACGUGAGAGAUGAGAGACAGUCACUCACUUAUAUAUCAACUUGAACCUGGGUUUUUGCUUCUGUGUAGAGCAGAAAGAGCAUCAGUGGUAGGGACUUGGAAGAAAUAGUCUGGGACUCAAAAGUUGGAAGAUGAGAGUAGGAUGUUCUGAAGAAAUGUGAGACUUUCACAGACAUGAUCAGGAGUUGCAAUAUUUCUCCUCAUGUUGCUCUUCAGUGUGAGCUCUGCGAAAAGUCAGUCAUCAUAAAUGACUACCCUGAAACUGCCAUGCUGUGGAAAAGCCUAAGCCCAUGGAGAAGUCUUGGAAGAGGGACACCAAGUGCAAAAAGAUGUGAGCAUCAGAUUACCAGCACUGUGAGUAAAGAAGCCAACUUUGAAGUUGGGUGCUCCAGCCUCAGGUGCCAUGCCCACUUUGUGGGGAUCAGAGAUGAACACAUAGUCAAGCCCUUCUGGAGUUCCUGACUUACAAAUUUAUGAGCAAAAUAAAAUGAAAAUUCUAAGCUACUCA